rnacentral:misc_RNA from 1 species
CUUUAGUUGUUGGCCCAAGAGCAACGUCACUGACCUUGGCUGCCCGCGGGUUUCCUGUAUUGUGUACCUAUCGAAAGGAAUUCGAACGUCACAACGACCUAUGUUCUUCCGGCGUUGUGGCUACUCUCGGGUGGGCACGGCGUGGGGUGAAUCUCAAAAUAGAGUUCAUGUUCCGAGUCGCAACCAAGUGACAUGUCUCGACCCACGAGUUGCCGCCUGAGCUCUCGGAUGCAGUGCACUAGGAGGGCAGGGUUGCUAGACGACCUCUAUUUGCCCAAACUCGGCGUCAAUCGCCUGCACCGAACGACUGCCGUCGUCGCCUCGAGGCUGCCGCGCCACGUCCGGGCUGCUGGGCUCGUGCGACGCCAGCGUGGGUUAGGAAUGCUACC